GGAUUCUCUCUUGCAUUUCACUCUGCACUUUGAAGAUGAAGACAAUGCUGAUCAUACUAUCAACCGUGAAGGACUGUGCUGAGGAUUGAAUGAGAAUACAUUCAGGCCAUGGAGCACAGUGUGUAUAUAUUACACAUGCUCCGAAAAGGCUAGCUGCUACUAUGAAGUUGGAUAAAUUGACUCAGGAAAGGGCAGAAUGAACUUGAUAUUGUGACUGUACAUUUCAGAGAGGCCCCAAAGAGCAAAUAUUCAGAUCACAGCAUUCACUCCCGGAAUAAGCAUAUUCGAAAACCCUUUCUUUGUCAAGCACGAUACGUGGAGGGAGACUCAUUCUGUUUCAGAAAGCUGAGAGUUAAG
rnacentral:lncRNA from 1 species